rnacentral:rRNA from 1 species
GACGGAGGGGGCUAGCGUUGUUCGGAAUUACUGGGCGUAAAGCGCGUGUAGGCGGUUGUUCAAGUCAGGUGUGAAAGCCUUGGGCUCAACUCAAGAAAUGCACUUGAUACUGGAUGACUAGGGGACCGGAGAGGAUAGUGGAAUUCCCAGUGUAGUGGUGAAAUACGUAGAGAUUGGGAAGAACACCAGUGGCGAAGGCGGCUAUCUGGACGGUUUCUGACGCUAAGACGCGAAAGCGUGGGGAGCAAACAGG